CAAUUGAAAGGUUUAAUAUUUAUAAAAUUUUAUUCAUUAGGCUUUGAUCUAAUAGUUGAAACUUUAUAUAUAAAUAAAUUUUUUUAUAAUUAAGGUUGCAUUUAUAUUUUUAUUUUGCUAAAAGUUAAAUAAUAAAAAUAUAUAUUAUAUAUAACUAUUUAUUUAUAUAUAAAAAUAUAAAUUAAAUAAAUUAUAUAAAUAUAAAAUAUAUGUAUUCGAGCUGUUAUCGAGCCGAACACGAGCGAGCUGACCCCAGCUCGUGUUCAGCUCGUUUAUUAAACGAGCCAAAAAAUUCAACUCGUGUUCGGCUCAUUUACUAAACGAGCGAUUCGAUCUCGAGCUCAUUUCGAGCCGAACACGAGCUGGCUAGCAAACAGCGAGCUGGAUUGCCACCCCUACUCUAGAGCAAGUGGCAAAAGGCUUGGUGGUUGGUACCCGAGGUCCCAAAUUCGAAUCCUAGUUGAUUUACAUUUCUAAUUAAAUUUAUUUCCAAAUGAAAUAAACGAAGCGGGUAACGUGCUACCUAUCUCUCAAAAGAAAAAAAGAAAAUGAAAAAGGCACCGCAUCAAAAUGUGUUCUUUGCUG
rnacentral:lncRNA from 1 species